CACGCCCAGGAAGCAGGGGGCGCCACGCCCAGGAAGCAGGAGGUGCCACGCCCAGGAAGCAGGAGGCGCCACGCCCAGGAAGUAGGGGGCACCACAUGGAGACAGCAGGGAGGCUGCCUCACUCUUACCUCCCACCCUGAAUGAAAGAGGGCGCCUAGGUUCUCCUUGCAUACGGUUGCUGAACCUGAAGGAGGAAUUAAUUGCCAGAUGAGAAUGAGACUUUGCAGUAAAGGGAAAGAAGUCAUGGAUCUGGAGCCAAAAUAAAAUGGGAGAAAGAAAAGAAUAGGAACAAUUAAACACUGCAGCUUGUCAUACUGCUACUCAUGUUCCCUACGUCUAACUGUUCUUAUGGAAGUCACUUCUUUGCUGUUCGAGAUCUCCAUGAAAACCCAACUGAGGGAAGUGAAAGAAGUCUGGAAGUACCAAAUACCUCCCAAUGCCUUCCUUCACAGAUGGCAGAGACUGGAUUUGCAGCUCACUCCACUUUGUAUUACUGCCCUCCCUGGGUUCAAUUCAAUGGAAAAAGAUGCACGCUUGCCUAGUUCCUUCUUUGGCUGUGGAGAAUAUUCUUUCAUCAUGCAUGCCUUGUGGAUAUCUAGGGACCUUACUUUGCUUAAAAUAGUUGCAUUCUCUGAUAAUGUUCCUGGUGAUACCUGAAAGUCAGGUGAUAUCAGUCUCCAAAGAAAUAAAAAUGCAGAUCAACCAGAAGGCA
rnacentral:lncRNA from 1 species